rnacentral:sRNA from 17 species
CCGCCCAAUGCGCCGCCUACACCGGCUUCGGUGGUGCCACCGGCCAUGGCUGCGCCACUGACCAGGCCAAGGGACAACAAGAGAAUCGAGGAAAGCUUCAUUCAGGUAAACCUCAAGGGGAUGACGGCGCGAUCCUGAGGCCGUAUUGACAUGCUGACAAUAGAAAUCCGACCAGUAACACGAGUUGUACACAAUUCUCUAAGUUACUGUUUUAACUGCGGAACUUAAGUGAUUUUUGCGAGUCAUUAGCUCUUCGGAACGGCCGCUUUUAUGCAAAAGCGGCCUUUUUUUGUGUCCAAAAUGAUCGAUCAGGCCGAGCGCGACAUGAUCAAACCGCUCUCGCUCGCGGCUUCCAGGCGAAUCGCCACGAA